rnacentral:rRNA from 1 species
UGGGGGCUGCUACCUGCAGUCGAACGGAACCUUUCGGGGUUUAGUGGCGGACGGGUGAGUAACGCGUGAGGAUCUGCCUUCAGGUUGGGGACAACAGUUGGAAACGACUGCUAAUACCCAAUGUGCCGAGAGGUGAAAGCUUUAGUGCCUGAAGAUGAGCUCGCGUCUGAUUAGCUAGUUGGUGGGGUAACGGCCUACCAAGGCGACGAUCAGUAGCUGGUCUGAGAGGAUGAUCAGCCACACUGGGACUGAGACACGGCCCAGACUCCUACGGGAGGCAGCAGUGGGGAAUUUUCCGCAAUGGGCGCAAGCCUGACGGAGCAAGACCGCGUGAGGGAGGAAGGCUCUUGGGUUGUAAACCUCUUUUAUCAGGGAAGAAGAUCUGACGGUACCUGAUGAAUCAGCAUCGGCUAACUCCGUGCCAGCAGCCGCGGUAAUACGGAGGAUGCAAGCGUUAUCCGGAUUUAUUGGGCGUAAAGCGUCCGCAGGUGGUUGUUCAAGUCUGCUGUUAAAGCGCGAGGCUUAACCUCGUACAGGCAGUGGAAACUGGGCGACUUGAGUAUGGUAGGGGUAGCGGGAAUUCCCAGUGUAGCGGUGAAAUGCGUAGAUAUUGGGAAGAACACCAGCGGCGAAAGCGCGCUACUGGGCCAUAACUGACACUCAUGGACGAAAGCUAGGGGAGCGAAAGGGAUUAGAUACCCCUGUAGUCCUAGCUGUAAACGAUGGGUACUAGGUGUUGACCGUAUCGACCCGGUCAGUGCCGUAGCUAACGCGUUAAGUACCCCGCCUGGGGAGUAUGCACGCAAGUGUGAAACUCAAAGGAAUUGACGGGGGCCCGCACAAGCGGUGGAGUAUGUGGUUUAAUUCGAUGCAACGCGAAGAACCUUACCAGGGCUUGACAUGUCGCGAAUCCCGGUGAAAGCCGGGAGGGCCUUCGG